AGCAGUAGCCACGGGAAUACGAAGGGGGCUAGCGUUGCUCGGAAUGACUGGGCGUAAAGGGCGCGUAGGCGGCGAUCAAAGUCAGGCGUGAAAUUCCUGGGCUCAACCUGGGGGCUGCGCUUGAUACUUGGUUGCUUGAGUGGGGAAGAGGGUCGUGGAAUUCCCAGUGUAGAGGUGAAAUUCGUAGAUAUUGGGAAGAACACCGGUGGCGAAGGCGGCGACCUGGUCCUUGACUGACGCUGAGGCGCGAAAGCGUGGGGAGCAAACAGGAUUAGAUACCCCUGUAGUCCCUGUCUCUUAUAC
rnacentral:rRNA from 1 species